GAGGUUAUAGCUCAGUGGAAGAGUGCUCGCCUCGCACGUGUGAGGCACUGGGUUCAAUCCUCAGUAUCA
rnacentral:tRNA from 1 species